GCGCUCGUAGCUCAAUCGGAUAGAGCAACGGCCUUCUAAGCCGUAGGUUACAGGUUCGAUUCCUGUCGAGCGCACCA
rnacentral:tRNA from 1 species